rnacentral:rRNA from 1 species
AUGGCUGAUGUCCUUCAGAACUUUGGUGGCAUUACGGCGGCUUUCCCGAUUAGAUAUCUAGGCCUCCCAAUCACGACGGGGCGUAUUAGACUAGUACAUAUUCAGGCUAUCCUGGACAGGAUCCGGGCUCGCCUCGCCGGCUGGAAGGGCAGAUUAAUGCCGUUGGCUGGUCGGCGUGUCCUAGUACGCUGCGUACUUUCGGCCAUGCCCACCUUUGCACUCACAGCCCUUCGAGUCCCAAAGAAGUUCUAUAAAGACGUAGACAAAUCACGGCGGCGCUUCCUCUGGGCAGGAGAUGAGGAGGUGUCCGGUGGAAAGUGCAAAGUGGGCUGGAGCACGGUGACCACGCCUGAGCAGUAUGGUGGUCUAGGCAUUCACGAUCUACCUCGUUUUGCCAGGGCUCUACGUCUGCACUGGUUAUGGCAAUCCUGGAAGAACCCGGAAAGGCCCUGGGUCGGAACGGGCACGCCCUGCGACGCCUCGGACAGGGCCCUGUUUGCUGCAUCCACAGCGGUGACCAUCGGCGACGGAGCGACGGCAUCAUUCUGGUUCUGCUCAUGGCUGGGUGGACGACAACUUUGCCAAGCCUUCCCCACUCUUUUUGCCAGAUCCACCAGGAAGAACCUGUUAGAUAAGUGA